AACCUCCUCACGUACAUAGGCACACAUCAAUACGCAUCUGUAACGUGCACGCACAUCCGCGCACAUAACGCAGAUACUCACGCUGUAUCGAUUAGAAAAGGCACGAAAGGAGGAGGAAAAAAAAACAAGGUCACCCCACGUGCCGUAUCGAACUUCACUCUCGCGUGAGCGACUUCUCAUCCCCCGUAGGGCGCGCGCGUGCAGGACUGUGCAGUGACUUUUCCCGGAUCAGAGGAGAAGCUGCAUUACAGCGUCACAAAAAAGAACAGAGGACGUGCAGAUUUAUCUUUUGCUCGCUUCACUAUCGCACACUGACAGCCGUGGCGCCGCAAACACACUGACGCCUUACGCCACGCCGUGAUGGAGACGUUGAAGGGAUUUGCUCGCCGCACCACGCAGAGCCUGCGUGAGAUGGUAUCGCGGACGGAGGUGUCACCGGAGGAGAUGCGGCUUACGGAGGUCAUGGCGAAGGUGCGCAUAAUGGAGACGAAGGGAGAGAUGAUUUGCGAAAAGGUCAUCCAGGCUGCUCGGCUCAUGGGCGAGCUUGGCACAACGUUGCGGGAGAUCGGAGAGGAGUACAAGGGUGUACCAGAUUUACCGAAGGAGAGUCGUGAACUUGCCGACGACGUCUUCGAGGUUGGUGUGAAGCUCGUGGAGACGUCGCAGGAGCACCAGAAAGGUCUAAAGGAUAACGGGUUCGAGUUGCUACGCAGCUUCGCCAAGCAGUGCGCGCAGCUGCGCGAGGUCGAAGAUGCGCGGCGGCACCAUCAGCUCGAGUACGACUUCUUCAAAUCCAAAGUGCAGUACCUCCGCUCAUCACCGCAAAGGGACUUCACUCGUCUUCCACGCAACGAGCAGAUCUUGGAGAAUUGGCGCGUGGAGCUGUGGCGGGCGACGGAGCGCAGUAAGGCGUUGUGCUCGGAGCUCUUCGUGUCUGGUCGCCAGGCCAUCGACCGAAGCGUGCUCACGACAAUUCAGGUGCUCCACAGCUUCGUGGAAAUCGCGUCGACGGGCUUCUCGCAAACCUUUCAGGGAGUACGCCUCCCCACCUAUCCCAAAACGCCGGUACUGCCUCCGACGGCGCUGCCGCCGGCGCCGGCGCCGGCGCCGCCGACCCCAUACGCGUACAGUAGCCAGACGGCUGUUGCGGCGCCCACUGGUGCCAUUAUACCGGCCUCACCAGGUACCCAAGCCCCUAUGCCCGGGACGGCCUACGCGUCGACGUCGCUACCGUCGCCGGCAAAUCCCCCCGGCCCAGUUGCAGCACCACAACCAGCGCCACUUGCUCCCGCCAUAGGCACUCCGUACGGAGGCGCCCCUUCGUAUGCCGUCACGCCAGGGGCUGCCGGUAGCGGGCCUGCGGGUUACCAACCACCGCCCCUCGACAUACCCACUUCAACCGACAAUGGCACCACAACGUAUCAGCCACCGCCCCUGCAGUGACCUGGGGUGCACGCCUUUGCGGUGUAGUCGGUGGCCGUUAUGGGCAUCUGUGAGGGUGAGUUGGAGGGGCUGUGUAGAGGGCGUAGUGAGAGGGAGGCAGCGAGGGAAGUGAUACGCAAGCAUGGCACUGCUGCCCAUCAGCCUGUCGACGUUGCUUUUCUGCUCCGCUGUGUUUUUUACGGGAUGCCGCAUGUCUGCUAUCGGUGAAGAUCGGUGUCGUCGAUCGGAGAUCGUCUCGUCGCUGCUUUUUUUUCCUGUGUUUUCUUUUGUUUUGUGCUGUUGUUGCCUUGUUUGCCUCCCCUCACGUGUGCGUGUGUGUGCCUGUGCGCCUGUCCUCUCAGUACUCUGUCUCUCUGUACACGGCUCGUGGCGUUUUUUUUGCCUAAUCCCUCCCUUUCUCUUUUCCGCCCUUGUCCCCUCUGUGCAGGUCUCAGUGGCGUGCGCGGGCGUGUUCAUGUGUGCAUAUUGGACACAGUAUACACAUGUGUGGUUAGAUUGUUUCGCGUGUGCCCAACCAACAUUGCAGGAGCAGUAGCCACUCUCAUCCGUCGAUGUCUGCAGAGCGUGCAAGAGGGGACGAUUCGAGCACAAGGCUAAGGUGACGUUUGUUUGCUUCUCGGCUGCUCUCUCUUCUUUUUGAGGGGAUUUUCGCUCAAGUAGCCGCACACGCUUCACCGCCCCCUUCCGCCUCCAAGCACCGCUGGUGUGCUUGCGCACACAUGCGCACCCUUCGCAUACACCCACACAAGCACGCGCUACUUCUUUCCUACGCCAAACGAAACGGAAUGACAAGGGCAUCCUGCGAAACUCGAUGCCGAUACGACAUGCGUGUGCGUGAGGUCACUGCCCUGGCGUGCGAAUGUGUCUGGGGUGGCGGUCGAAUGGUAACAUGGUGCGGUGACCGGCAACAUGGCUCCCUUCCCCUUCGCUCCGGUUGUUCUCUUUCUCUCGUCUCGUUCUCGGUACACAUUCUCAGCUUUUUACCAACGGUGUGCGAGAGGAAAACG
rnacentral:misc_RNA from 1 species